rnacentral:rRNA from 1 species
CCUACGGGAGGCUGCAGUGAGGAAUAUUGGUCAAUGGACGAGAGUCUGAUCCAGCCAAGUAGCGUGCAGGAUGACUGCCCUAUGGGUUGUAAACUUCUUUUAUAUGGGAAUAAAACGUUCCACGUGUGGGAUUUUGUAUGUACCCUAUGAAUACGUAUCGGCUAACUCCGUGCCAGCAGACGCGGUAAUACGGUGGAUCCGAGCGUUAUCCGGAUUUUUUGGGUUUAAAGGAAGCGUAGGUGGUAUGUUAUAUCAGUUUUGAAAGUUUGCGGCUCAACCGUAACAUUGCAUUUGAGACUGGCAGUCUUGAGUACAGUAGAGGUGGGCGGAAUUCGUGGUGUAGCGGUGAAAUGCGUAGAUAUCACGAAGAACUCCGAUUGCGAAGGCAGUUCACUGGACUGCAACUGACACUGAGGCUCGAAAGUGUGGGUAUCAAACAGGAUUAGAUACCCUAGUAGUC